CCCUACGGGGGGCAGCAGUGGGGAAUAUUGCACAAUGGGGGGAACCCUGAUGCAGCGACGCCGCGUGAAGGAAGAAGUAUUGCGGUAUGUAAACUUCUAUCAGCAGGGAAGAAAAUGACGGUACCUGACUAAGAAGCCCCGGCUAACUACGUGCCAGCAGCCGCGGUAAUACCUAGGGGGCAAGCGUUAUCCGGAUUUACUGGGUGUAACGGGAGCGUAGGCGGCAGUGCAAGUCAGAAGUGAAAGCCAAAGGCUCAACCAUGGGACUGCUUUUGAAACUGUACAG
rnacentral:rRNA from 1 species